CCAAAUGACAUUGAGUAAUCCCAAAGUAUAAACAGACAACAUUCUUUUUUUUUUUUGAAAUAAAGACAAUAUCUUUUUCUUAUUGGCCAAAAGUAUUUCUCUUUUUAUUUAUUUUUUCUACCCACUGAUUUGACCAUUUCCCCCCUAAACAAACAGAACCCAAGUUUUUACUUGAGCUGGAUAUACCAAUUUCAAAUCUUUAUUCUUUUCAAGCAAAUAUUUCAACAGCUUAUAUACACUAGGAGACCACAGAAACUCAUGGGUUUGAGUCAUCUAUACAUUCUCAAACAAUGAAAACACCAUCUUUCUCAUUGUUCAAGUUCUCCCCAGACCAUUUCGCUCUUUGCUUGCAAAACUGCCUGAAAGCAAAGACUCUGAGACAAGGGAAGCAAGUCCAUGCAGUGUUGUUAUCAUCUGGGGUUGACAUGAACUUGUUAUCUUUGAGCUCAAAGCUUGUGGGGAUGUAUGCAAGUUGUGGGGACGUGAGUUCUGCACGGAAGGUGUUCGAUAAAAUUCCCAAACCAAAUGUGUUUUCAUUGAAUUGGAUGGUGUUUGCUUCGGCGUUUAAUGGGUGGUUUGAGCAAGCAAUUGGGUACUUUUGUUUGAUGCGAGAGUUGGGAAUUGUUGCCAAUAAGUUCAGUUUUCCGGUCAUGCUUAAAGUGUGUGUUGGUUUGAUGGAUUUGAAUAAGGGAAAGGAAGUUCAUGCUGUGGUGUAUAAGAUGGGGUUUGAAAAGGAUGUUGCUUUGGGGAAUGCAUUGGUGGAUAUGUAUUGCAAAUGUGGAAGCUUGUGUUAUGGUCAUCGAGUUUUUGAUCGAAUGUUUGAAAGAGAUGUGGCUUCUUGGACAUCUAUGAUCUGUGGGUAUUGUAAUGUAGGAAGGACUGAUCAAGCGGCAAUGUUGUUUGAGAGGAUGAAGUUGGAUGGAUUGGAACCAAAUGAUUUCACAUGGAAUGCAAUGAUAGCUGGGUAUGCUCGGAGUGGAGAUAGCAAUCGAGCAUAUGUGCUACUAUCUAGGAUGACUAAAGAAGGAUUGGUUCCUGAUUUGGUUACAUGGAAUGCAAUAAUUUCAGGUUUUUCCCAAAGCCAGGAGGCAGGUGAAGCUCUUAAGUUGUUCAGUGCUAUGUUAGUGUCUGGAAUUAAGCCCAACCUUGUCACUAUCACAGGAUUGCUCCCAGCUUGUGGAGUGCUUGGUUCAGUUGAAAGAGGGAGAGAAAUUCAUGGAUUGAUAUGUAGGAUGGGAUUUGACAUAAAUGUCUUUGUUGCUAGUGCUCUUAUUGACAUGUACUCGAAAUGUGGCAGUGUGAAAAAUGCUCGAAGUGUAUUUGACUGGACUCCUGUAUACAAUGUUGCGUCGUGGAAUGCAAUGAUUGGAUGUUAUGGUAAGCACGGUAUGGUUGAUUCUGCGGUAGAGCUUUUCGAAAGAAUGCAAGAGGGAGGAGUUCAGGCUAAUGAAGUGACUUUGAGUUGUGUACUUUCUGCAUGCAGCCAUAGUGGUUCUGUAGAAAAGGGUUUAGAGAUAUUCAGGUCCAUGAAAGAGAGCCAUGGAGUUGAGGCAAGUAAAGAACAUUAUGGUUGUGUCGUCGAUCUCUUGUGCCGUUCAGGGAAGAUGGUAGAAGCUUAUGAGUUUGUGAAGUCCAUUCCUUUAGAAGUCACUGAAUCCAUUAUUGGAGCUUUGCUGAACGGGUGUAAAGUCCAUGGAAGAAGAGAUCUUGCUAAAUUGAUGGCUCAGGAUAUUCUGAAAAUGGAGUUAAAGAGACCUGGAGGUUUUGUAACACUCUCAAAUAUCUAUGCUGCUGAUGGAGAAUGGGAAGAAGUUGAGUAUGUAAGGAAGGUGAUGAAGCAGAGGAAGGUCCUUAAGAAACCUGGAUUUAGUUCACUCGAUUAAAUGGAAAGUUUGUUGCAGUGGAAGUUGGAAAAGAGGUCAACAAAAUGUCCUUGUCUGCCGUUAAUAAGAUACAAUCAGUUCAGUAAAUUUCAGCUUCUUUUUCUGGUUGCACCAGACAUCUCCAGUACAGCUGAAUUGAGAUUCCUAACUUUUGUGUAUGUCCAGCCAUUCGGCUUUCAAUACAGAACAACAGAACGAUGGAGUCUCUGAGAUGAAGAUAGUACUGCUGGGGAUGAUGGUUGAACCGAUUGAGAUACUACUUCAACUGGAUCUGCAGGUUAACAGCUUCAAAUGUUGGUACUACUUUCUUUCUUUCCUUAAUUAUGAACUAUAGCCUUUUAGGCUUCAAGUCACUAUUGUUUCAAAACAAGUUGGCAGCAUAUAGUAAUUAUCCACUUUUCGAGCUGAAGUGUAACUUACUCCUUCUUCAGAAAUUCAUAACCCUCUAACACUGAAAGUCCAUACAAACACUUGAAGCAUGGAAUUAGUGAUUAGUAAACUUGUUCAGAUGCAAAUGACCUGUUCUCAACUUCUUCGUAUGCCCAAGUAUGCCUGCUGAACUUAUCUUCAUAGAUCAUACUUCACACUUUCUUAUGAAACACUUAGGCUUUUAGUCGAUCUAUCUUCUUAGCAUCGUCUACUUUGAACGCUGAAUAUGUAGCUUGGGAGUUACAUGUCUUCCUGUAGUAAUAGUAUUUACUACUUUGUUCAAAGU